UUUUUUUUUUUUUUUUUUGGACAGGUUCUGGCUGUGUCACGCAGGUUGGAGUACAGUGUCAUGAUCUUGGCUCACCGCAACCUCCGCCUCCUGGGCUCAAGAGAUCCUCACACCUCAGCCUCCCAAGUAGCUGGGACUACAGGCACACAACAGCAUGCCCGGGUAGUUUUUAGUAGGGAUGGAGUUUUGCCAUGUUGCCCAUGCUGGUCUUAAACUCCUGAGCUCAAGCAAACCGCCUACCUCGGGCUCCUAAAGUGCUGGGAUUGCAGGCAUGAGCCACUGCGCCUGGCCCAAAGUGAUCUUUUUGAGGGCUCAUGAGUUGACUGAGGGUUGGCAGCCCCUGGGUGGCUUCGGGAUGGGAGCUGGUCACUGAAAACACCAAGUAGGAUUACAGGGUUAGAGUUUGAGCCCCAUCCCCUGAUCACUGAAGAAGGAAAAGGGGCUUAAGGUUAAAUUGAUAACUAAUGGCCAGUGACUUAAUCAAUCAUGCCUAUAUAAUGGAGUCUCUAUAGAAACACAAAAGGACGUGGUUCAGAGAGUUCUCUGGUGUAAACCAAAAUGUAUGAGAGACAGGUCUCAAUCCAUCUGGAAGUUUAUUUUGCCAAGGGUAAGGACAUGCCAGGAAAAAAGGAACACAAAUCCACAGGAACAAUCUGUGGUCCAUGCCUUUUUCCAAAGACAAUUUUGAAGCCUUCAAUAUUUAAAGGUAUGGUCACAUUACUGAAUCCACAUGUUGUAAGAGAAACGGAACAGGUAGGGGAGUAGUCAAUUAUCUAUUUGUCUCACGUUCAGUAAAUCGGCACUUAGGGUGAGCACAGAACAGCUACCUGUGGAGAUAUUUAACAUUUUAUCUGUAGCUAUCUGCUUAGGAACAAAAGGAAAGCCAGUUUUUUGCAUGAUCAGGUUUUAGCUUAGUUUUUUCCUUUUUGCGUAGUGAAUUGGGGUCCUGAGAUUUUCUUUUCUUUUCAUAUUGGAUUGCUGAACAUGUGGAGGUUCCUGGAGGGUGGCACAUCCAGAGAGAGCAUGGACGCUCCGCAUCCCUUCCCCCAUACCUCACCCUAUGCAUCUCCAUCUGUAUCCUUUGUAAUAUCUUUUAUAAUAAACUGGUAAAAGUGUUUCCCUGAGUUCUUUGAGCUGCUCUAGCAAAUUAAACGAAAAGGUCAUGGGAUCCCUGGUUUGCAGCCAAUCGGUCAGAAGUACAGGUAGAAAAACUUAAGGCUUAGGAUAGACAUUGGAAGUGGGGGGCAGUCUUAUGGGACUGAGUCCUCAAUCUGUGGGAUCUUAUGCUAUCUCAGGUGGAUAGUGUCAGAAUUAAAUUCAAGACACCCAGCUGGUGUCCACUGCAGAAUGUCCCCAACCCGGACACACACACACACACACACACACACACACACACACACACACACAGAGAAAUCUAAUCACAGAGGUCUUAUGUGUUGACUGUUGUGGUGUGAGAGCAGUCAAAGUUUUUCCACAUUCAAUAGGGCAUAGGAUUAAUAACGUUGCUGUGUAAAAUGUCACAUGCCAGUUAAAGAAAGACGAUCAUCUCAAUAAGAAAAUAUGCAAAUAAUCUUCAUAAGAAGUAUAAUGACCAAUAAACAUAAGAAAGUUAAUCGUUCGUGAUCAAAGUAAGGCAUAUUGAAUAAAAAAUAAAAUGUCCUUUACACCCUAUUAAAUAGAAAAACAUUUAAAGGAAUAUAUUUAGCAGUAGCAAUGACGUGCUGCAAUUGACAGGUAUAUACAUUAUCCAGUCUUUCUUUUUUAUUUAUUUAUUUUUUUGUUUGUUUGUUUGAGACGGAGUCUCACGCUGUUGCCCAGGCUGGAGCUUUGUGUUCGAUAAUUUUGCCCAACAGUAAGCUAAUGUAAGUGUCCUGAGCAUGUUUAAGGUAGGCCAGGCCAAGCAAUUAUGUUCCGUAGGCUAAGUAUAUUAAAGGCAUUUUCAACUACAAUAUUUUCCAUUUCAGAUGGAUUUAUUGGGACAUAAUCCCAAUGUCAGGGGAUCAUCUGUAUUAAUUUUGCCAUUUUCUUCAAAAGCAAAGGAACCAAGUGGCCUCAUGCAAAAAAGACUUGAGGUGGCCAUGCCAAGACCCUGGAGCCCUGAGAGUUUCUAGAUUAUUCUCCAGCAUCCUCAGCAUAUCUCCUACUUGUAUUCCAUUUCAAGGGCUCUUCUUUCCCCUUGGACUCAGCAUUGAUGGUCCUCAAAUCUGUGCCUUCAGACUUUAGCCACAAUGCCAGCUGCGAACUUUGAAACCACCCUUCUGAUUUUCCACAAUCACGGGUCCACAUACCUAAAAUGAACAUCAUUAUCCCUAUUGAACUAAAUUCCCGUUCUGACCCUCAUUCCAACCCUGGCCCUGCUCAGAAGGUUUUACUUUAUUACGAGAGAAUCAUUUCUCAUUUUUAAAUAAGGAAAUAAAAAUUCAAGCUUUUCCGUUAAGGAGAAAAUUCAGACAAUGAUGAGAUUCAGAAUGAGGAGAGAUCAAAGGUAAAGAGACCAAUUAGGAGGUCUUCUUUGGAGUAGUGUCAAUUUCUUAAUUAGCUUGGAAGCCCCAACACCUAGCACAACAUCUAAAAUGUCAUGAGAGUUCACCAAAGUGAAUCAAAUAGAACAUUCUGCAAUAAUCAAUGAAGGCAAUUGAAUCGGCAUCGCAGAAAUAUUUGUUUUAUUAGUGAUUAGCAUGUAAUAUAGUCUGCUUUUUUGUUUUAUUUCAGAGCAUAUAAUUAUGAGCACCACAAGACAUACCGGUUUAGAGCUCUGGACUUUCAUGUUUUGCCACAUAUCAGCUAUGCAACUGUAGGUAAAUCUACCAACUUCUCCUUACUUGUAAAGAUAUAUUUGGCAGGAGGUCAACAAUUUUUUAGAUAAAUGAAUGAAUGCUUCAUGUCAUGAAACAUAUUAAGGAAGCUCCAAAGUGUGGAAGCUCUGUUUUUUAUCCACCCUCUAAUUCCACCAGCUUUCCUAAUAAUUUAUUCAUGGUGGUUUUUUAUUUAUUUAUUUAUUUUGAGACGGAGUUUUGCUCUUGUUGCCCAGGCUGGAAUGCAAUGGUGCAAUCUCAGCUCACCGCAACCUCCACCUCCUCCCAGGUUCAAGUGAUUCUUCUGCCUCAGCCUUCCCAAGUAGCUGGGAUUAUAGGCAUGUGCCACCAAGCCUGGCUAAUUUUGUAUUUUUAGUAGAGAUGGGGUUUCUCCGUGUGGGUAAGGCUGGUCUCAAACUCCCGACCUUAGGUGAUCCGCCCACCUCGGCCUCCCAAAGUGCUGGGAUUACAGGCGCCAGCCACUGCACCCAGCCUCAUGGUUUUGUUUUUAUUUUGGUUUACAACCAUUAGAUUCAGACUUUCCUAGAGAAAGAAUCUAAGUAUUAGGACUCAAAAUCUAGUAAUCACUGAUAAAAGUCAUUUGGAUGAGAAAGGAAAAGAAACUUGGAUCUAAGGAAUGUGAGCCUCCUCUAAAUUACCUGGCUCAGAGAGCCCUUGAAAUGAGACAACAGUCAUGUCCCACUCACCCACCUUGAGCUACAUAAUCACCUCUUGAAGCUGCCUGCUGUAUGGACUCUAGACUGACUAACACAAGUAGCUAUCAAUUAAUCUAACAGUGCCACAUGCUGAACACCAUAGCUCAUACCCUGUAAUUCAACAAUGCAUAGCCAAUCACUAACCAAUGUUAUUUCUAUAAACCAAUGAGAAUUCCUGACAAACAACUUUGCAUCAGUUCACUCCUGGUUCCCCUUUCCACCUUUAAAAACCUGCUUGGAAAAAAAAGCCAAAUGGAGCACACACCCAAGGUUACUUGGAGAACGUGGCAGGUUAUGGAAGCUUCUUUGUAAAUCCACCCAUCCCACUCUGUUAAAGGAUCUCCCAACUUGCAUUUCUUAUGACCUCACAUGUCUCGGAUGUGGACUGGCUCUAGGCAAAAUUGUAAAGCAAGCCCUUUAGAUUCCUCCUCCACCUCUCACUGCUCCCAGCAAAACUGCACUGGACAGUAAAUCUGGGUCUGGUCCUGCUGUUGCCAUUUACUCUCUGACAGUUGGCAUAUUUGUGGCUGUCCCGUAAAAUGGCAUGACAAUAUCUACCUCACAAGGCUGUGGUGAGAACGAGAAAAUACAUGAGGAGUAUUUGGUCAACUUCAGGUCAGCACACAGCACUUCUUAGAUCCAGAUGUCCCCUGUUUCCCUGACCCAACAAGGUGGCCAAUGGAACAGAUCCCACCACGGGUGAGUUUUCUUAGGCACAUUUUUUUUUUUCAAUUAGUUGCCAAUAUUGAAACAUAAAGAAGUCUCACAUAUUGACAAAAAUGAGAUUUUCAGCUUCCCUUGAAAAACUGGAGAUCUGGCAACACUGGCCAGCGCCCUCCCCUGGUAACAAUCAUCUGGAGUGGGAAGCUCCGGCUGCCUAGUUCGCCACCGUCCCUUUGGUUAAAGGAUAAUUUUGAAAUGAAGGUAAAAAUUGCGGCUCUCAAACAGACACAAAAGAAGAGCACAUGCCAAAAAUUUUAUUUAAUCUUUUAGUGAGGAAUGCCCAAGGAGAAUCCAAAGAUCAAAAUUACUGAAAUAAAUGUGCUAAUCGAAGCAAAACUGGGGAAGGAGGUCGGCUGAAUCUACGCUAAGACACAAUUUACACAUCUAUAGACAAGAAUUAUUUUGCUCUGCUAUCAGUUACCUACAGCUCACAGAGUUGUGAGAUAGCUCCCAUAGAAUCAAAAUCACAUAGCCAGGAAGGAAGUGUCUUCGCCCAGAGUCUAGAUUCCAGACAAUGCAGUUUUCCACUGAAGUACAACAGGAUCUCCCCCUGCACUUCCAUUUCCAAGUCCUAUUUGUGGACUGUCUAGCCCCAGAAAAGAUGUGUUUUUCCCCAAUCAGAUGCUAUAAAGCUGUCACGUCUCGUUUUUUAUUCAGUGUAUUCCAUUAUAAAAUGUCGAGGUGAGACUAAUCUCAAUUCCCUUAUGAUUCCUUAAUUCAAAUUUCUUACUACUCCUUCCACCCAAUUCCCCCUGCACCCCCUACAUCCAUAAAUCAAUCCUCAUUAUUUGGCCAUUCAGGUCCUUAUCAGUGAGGUACAGCUAGGUUUAAUUUGUGCUAAGGUGUUAAUGGGCAAUGUUUUAUUAUAGAUACUUUAUCCUCAACAUCUACUUCUACAGCUUCAGUUACCAUCUCAAACCAUCACUUUCCUGAAAGUAGAACCAGAUUCAGCUUUAAACACCUGCUGUCAAGAAGGCCC
ensembl:lncRNA